rnacentral:rRNA from 1 species
CGCGGUAAUUCCAGCUCCAAUAGCGUAUACUAAAGUGUUGCAGUUAAAAAGCUCUUAUUUGUUUUUUUGGCGGGGACGGCUGGCCGGCCUCGAAAGGGGCUGUACUGUUGUUGUUUCCCGUCUUCCUUGGGGAGAGCGGCUCUUACAUUAUUUUGUCGGCGUCGGGAUCCCUAUCUUUUACUGUGAAAAAAUUAUAGUGUUCAAAGCAGGCUUAGGCCCUGAAUACUUUAGCAUGGAAUAAUAAGAUACGACCUUGGUGGUCUAUUUUGUUGGUUUGCACGCCAAGGUAAUGAUUAAUAGGGAUAGUUGGGGGUAUUCGUAUUCAAUUGUCAGAGGUGAAAUUCUUGGAUUUAUGGAAGACGAACUACUGCGAAAGCAUUUACCAAGGAUGUUUUCAUUAAUCAAGAACGAAAGUUAGGGGAUCGAAGAUGAUUAGAUACCAUCGUAGUCUUAACCAUAAACUAUGCCGACUAGGGAUCGGUGGGUGCAUUUUUAGGCCUCAUCGGCACCUUAUGAGAAAUCAAAGUCUUUGGGUUCCGGGGGGAGUAUGGUCGCAAGGCUGAAACUUAAAGAAAUUGACGG